GUUGGGGACAGGGAUGGGGACAAGGACGGGGACAGGGACAAGGUGGGGACAGGGAAAGGGAUGGGGACAGGGACAGGGAUGGGAUGGCACAGGGUGGAAAUGGGGACCAGGACAGUGAUGGGGACAGGGAAGGGGAUGGGGCCGUCACUCACCCCUUGGCCUCAGCCACCUCCGGGGAGCUGGGGGCUGCCGAGAGCCCCCCCAUUUCUUCCAGCCUGGGUGGGACACGGGGGGGGAGGGUCAGAGCUACGGGGCCCCCGCCACACGCGGUGUCACCGUGCCGUGUCCCCAAACACACACGGUGUCCCCAAGCCCCCUCUGCAGUGUCCCCAAGCCCCCAAGCAACGUCCCCGAGACCCCAUGCAACGUCCCCAAGCACCCACGAAAUGUCCCCAAGACCCCCCACAAAGCCCCCAGCCCCCCACAACGUCCCCAAGCCCCCAGGCGAUGUCCCCGCGCCCCCACCUGGCGAGCAGCAGGCGCAGGACGUCGUGGGGCUGGGUGAAGGCACGGAAGGUGGCGAGGAAGGUGGGGACGAAGGCUCCGUCCCCGCGGGCCGGGGCCUCCAGCAGCAUCCCAGUGCCACCCCAUAGCAUCCCAGUGGUGCUCUCAGUGCUCCCAGUGCUCCCAGUGCCUCCCUGCAGCUCCCUCUUGAGCCUCCACCCCCAGUCCCUGCGCCCAGUAACCCCAGUACGCCCAGUACCCCCAGUCCCGUGCUCCCAGUCCCAGCCCUCCGUGCUCCCCCAGUCCCUGCUCCCAGUAACCCCGUCCCUCACCCCCCGUGCUCCCAGUACCUCCCAGUGCCUGCUUCCAGUC
rnacentral:lncRNA from 1 species